GAUCUGGCUCAGGAUGAACGCUAGCUACAGGCUUAACACAUGCAAGUCGAGGGGUAGCAGGGUAGCAAUACCGCUGACGACCGGCGCACGGGUGAGUAACACGUAUCCAACCUUCCCAUAACUCAGGGAUAGCCUUUCGAAAGAAAGAUUAAUACCUGAUAGUACUUUUUCAAGGCAUCUUGAGAAAGUUAAAGAUUUAUUGGUUAUGGAUGGGGAUGCGUUCCAUUAGAUAGUUGGUGAGGUAACGGCUCACCAAGUCUUCGAUGGAUAGGGGUUCUGAGAGGAAGGUCCCCCACAUUGGUACUGAGACACGGACCAAACUCCUACGGGAGGCAGCAGUGAGGAAUAUUGGUCAAUGGGCGAGAGCCUGAACCAGCCAAGUAGCGUGAAGGAUGAAGGUCCUAUGGAUUGUAAACUUCUUUUAUAGUAGAAUAAAGUGAUCCACGUGUGGAUUUUUGUAUGUAUACUAUGAAUAAGGAUCGGCUAACUCCGUGCCAGCCGCAGC
rnacentral:rRNA from 1 species